rnacentral:rRNA from 1 species
GUGAGGAAUAUUGGUCAAUGGGCGCAAGCCUGAACCAGCCAUGCCGCGUGCAGGAAGACGGUCCUAUGGAUUGUAAACUGCUUUUAUUUGGGAAUAAACUCCGGUACGUGUACCGGCCUGAAGGUACCAAAUGAAUAAGCACCGGCUAACUCCGUGCCAGCAGCCGCGGUAAUACGGAGGGUGCAAGCGUUAUCCGGAAUCAUUGGGUUUAAAGGGUCCGCAGGCGGUCUUAUAAGUCAGUGGUGAAAGCCUACAGCUCAACUGUAGAACUGCCAUUGAUACUGUAGGACUUGAAUUCGAUCGAAGUGGGCGGAAUGUGACAUGUAGCGGUGAAAUGCUUAGAUAUGUCACAGAACACCGAUAGCGAAGGCAACUCACUAGGUCUGGAUUGACGCUCAGGGACGAAAGCGUGGGGAGCAAACAGGAUUAGAAACCCGGGUAGUCC